rnacentral:rRNA from 1 species
GACGAACGCUGGCGGCGCGCUUAACACAUGCAAGUCGAACGGAAAGGCCUGCUUUCCCUUGUGGAUUGCGGGUACUCGAGUGGCGAACGGGUGAGUAACACGUGAGUGAUCUGCCCCCAACUUGGGUAUAAGCCUGGGAAACUGGGUCUAAUUCCCGAUAGGACUGCAGGGUGGUGCCUGUGGUGGAAAACGAUUUUCUAGUGGUUGGGGAUGAGCUCGCGGCCUAUCAGCUUGUUGGUGGGGUAAUGGCCUACCAAGGCGGCGACGGGUAGCCGGCCUGAGAGGGUGGACGGCCACAGUGGGACUGAGAUACGGCCCAGACUCCUACGGGAGGCAGCAGUGGGGAAUAGUGCACAAUGGGCGGAAGCCUGAUGCAGCGACGCCGCGUGGGGGAUGACGGCCUUCGGGUUGUAAACUCCUUUCGACCGCGAGGAAGCCACCUGGUUGGAAGGGUGGUGACGGUAGUGGUAGAAGAAGCACCGGCUAACUACGUG